UUUUAUGCCAAGCUAACAUCAAAGGCACAAGGCAUUGAAAGAACCUAGUGGGGAAACCCCCACUCAACUCCCAAUUCGGCGUGCACCCAAGAAUCACAAACAGAACA
rnacentral:pre_miRNA from 7 species